rnacentral:rRNA from 1 species
AUUGAACGCUAGCGGGAUGCCUUACACAUGCAAGUCGAACGGAGUGGCGAACGGGUGCGUAAUGUAUCGGUACGUGCCCAGUAGCGGGGGAUAACUACGCGAAAGCGUAGCUAAUACCGCAUACUUUUGGAGCGGCCGAUAGCGGAUUAGCGGGAUGGUGGGGUAACGGCUCACCAAGGCGAAGAUCCGUAGCUGGCUUGAGGGGACGACCAGCCACACUGGGACUGAGACACGGCCCAGACUCCUACAGGAGUCAGCAGAGGGGAAUUUUGGACAAUGGGGGAAACCCUGAUCAAGCCAUCCCGCGUGUGAGAGGAAGGCCUUCUGGUUGUAAAGCACUUUUGGCAGGAAAGCGGUACCUGCAGAAUAAGCACCGGCUAACUACGUGCCAGCCGCCGCGGUAAUUC